rnacentral:rRNA from 1 species
CCUACGGGGGGCAGCAGUGAGGAAUAUUGGUCAAUGGACGAGAGUCUGAACCAGCCAAGUAGCGUGAAGGAUGACUGCCCUAUGGGUUGUAAACUUCUUUUAUAUGGGAAUAAAAUGUUCCACGUGUGGGAUUUUGUAUGUACCAUAUGAAUAAGGAUCGGCUAACUCCGUGCCAGCAGCCGCGGUAAUACGGAGGAUCCGAGCGUUAUCCGGAUUUAUUGGGUUUAAAGGGAGCGUAGGUGGAUUGUUAAGUCAGUUGUGAAAGUUUGCGGCUCAACCGUAAAAUUGCAGUUGAAACUGGCAGUCUUGAGUACAGUAGAGGUGGGUGGAAUUCGUGGUGUAGCGGUGAAAUGCUUAGAUAUCACGAAGAACUCCGAUUGCGAAGGCAGUUCACUGGACUGCAACUGACACUGAGGCUCGAAAGUGUGGGUAUCAAACAGGAUUAGAUACCCGUGUAGUC